AGUUGAUUGGCUGUUCUGUUCCAUGUGGUAUAACUGAUAGCACUCAGGUGGCUUCAUUCAAGUGGGAGCUGAGCUGGGGCUAAAACAACUACGUGAUCUCAUCCUCCAAAUUAGUUUAGUCUUGACUUCUUAACAGUUUGAAGUCAGGCUCCAAGAAGUGCUCUGAGAGAACAAGCUCCACUGUGAACAAGCUUAUGAAGGCUCUUCGUUAGGGUCAAGGCUGAAGAGACCACUCAAGAGGCCGUGUGGGAGGGAACUGAAGCCCCCUGACAACAGCCAUUUGAGUGAACCUGUAAGCGGACCCUUCAGCUCUAAAUGAUGCAGCCCUGGCCAACACCUUGACCACAGCCUGUAAGAGACCUGAGAUAGAACUAUCCAGAUGUCUUCUUUCAGGAAGUCCUUCUGGACCUACACUCUCCAUCCUGAGCAGGUUUACAUACUCCUACUCUGUGCUUCAUAAAAUCCUGAGAAUUAGCUUCAUCACUGGACUACAGGAUAGAUCUAGAAUAAUAUGUUUUUUAUGUGAGCUUGUGAAGUGACUGCUACUGAGUUUGGAAUGUUACUGUUUCAUCCUGAAAGACAGUGUUCUCUCCUGAGGUCUGGAGAUUGACAUUUCUGUGGACUUAAUCUAUAUGUCCAAGGACACUUCAAAGGUUAAGCAAAUUCUAUUUCUAGUACUAUAAUCAGUAAAUUGUAAAUGCUAGUAGCUUUAGGUUUUGAUACUUUGGGCCCUUAAUUUUGAAUAAAGAUCCUGCUACCACUCUGAAAUAUCAGAUGCUACACAGUAACAGUGGGCUAUAAAAAUCUACAGUAUGAGACUUGCCAAAACAGGUUUUAUGAGGAUUUGGCUGGUUCUAGAAGUAGAAUUGGCUUAAAUAUACUGUGGCAUGUGAAAAAUGUUAUACAUACAUUUUUGUUUAAAAUUAAAUAUACAAUAAAUUUUAAUCCAAUUGCUUUGUUUUCAAAGACAAAUCUAGAGCAACAUACUUGGAAAGGAAAUUUUAUAAUUUACCUAAAAAUAUCCAAGCAUAUCAUGUAGCCUUUUAGUCUUUAGGAGGUUAACGGAUUGUCUUUGCUUAGAUAACUUGUAAUAAUUUUACACUUUCUCUUUUAUUGGCUGAUUUGGAAAUGAUAAAACAAAAUUAAAAUUGAAAAGGAAUCAAAGCACUCGUUAAAACUCAGCAUCAGAGACACAAGCCCAGGAUACAGUUGCAUAACUGAAUGUUCUUUUCAGGUAACACCUGGCUUUUUCUAUUUAUAGAAAGAUAUCACAAGUUUAAACACAGAGGAAAAUGGUUCAUAAAUCCAAUAAAAUUUGGAAUGCACAACUACCAGCAAUUUCAGGGGAUUUUCACCCAAUAUAUUUGCCAACAAAUCAAUAACACGAGUAAAUCCUUCUGCAUUGUGGACAAUCAAAUGCUCACUAACAGUCUUUUACAGAUAAUUUUAACAAUUGCGUUUUAAUCCAGUGAAUGGGUUGAAGUAGACAUUAAAAUAACAUCACUGACAUCAUCGCUACAAACCUUGGUGAAUCCAAAAGGGAAUCUCUUUUGCCCUGGUUCCCUUAGUGCAGGGGAAAAAGAAAUCUUUCAAGAGGAGCUGUGUCUUUCUUAAAAGAGAGAUCACAAAACAAGUGAGACAUAUGAUGGAGGCCAUUAGAGAGAAGGAUGAAUGCCAGUUUGUGAAGUGCUGCUUCAGCUGUCUCAGGAGAGUAGCUGCCAAGCACACUCAAG
rnacentral:lncRNA from 1 species